AUACGGUCAAAUCACGCUGAAGGUGCCAAUUCUCGUUCGAUCACCGAAGUUAAGCAGCGUCAAGUGUAGUGAGUACUUAGACAGGUGACCGCUUGGAAACGG